rnacentral:rRNA from 1 species
GGGGGAUAUUGCACAAUGGAGGAAACUCUGAUGCAGCAACGCCGCGUGAGGGAAGACGGUUUUCGGAUUGUAAACCUCUGUCUUUGGUGAAGAUAAUGACGGUAGCCAAAGAGGAAGCUCCGGCUAACUACGUGCCAGCAGCCGCGGUAAUACGUAGGGAGCAAGCGUUGUCCGGAUUUACUGGGUGUAAAGGGUGCGUAGGCGGCUUAUCAAGUCAGGCGUGAAAUAUAUGGGCUUAACCCAUAGACUGCGUUUGAAACUGAUGAGCUUGAGUGAAGUAGAGGUAGGCGGAAUUCCCGGUGUAGCGGUGAAAUGCGUAGAGAUCGGGAGGAACACCAGUGGCGAAGGCGGCCUACUGGGCUUUAACUGACGCUGAGGCACGAAAGCAUGGGUAGCAAAC